rfam:Setaria italica strain Yugu1 chromosome VI, whole genome shotgun sequence.
CAACAGGAGCCGCUCAGACUAGCCUAGGAGACUGCCUAUGAGCCAUCUCAAAGGCUCACACACUGCUGACUGCUGAUCCUUCAGUAUAAAGGACCUAGGCAAGUCAUCCUUGGCUAUCAGAGGCAGGCCCUUAUG